GACGAACGCUGGCGGCGUGCUUAACACAUGCAAGUCGAGCGGUAAGGCCCUUUCGGGGGUACACGAGCGGCGAACGGGUGAGUAACACGUGGGUGACCUGCCCUCAGCUCUGGGAUAAGCCUGGGAAACUGGGUCUAAUACUGGAUAUGACUCCACGGUGCAUGUCGUGGGGUGGAAAGCCUUGUGCGGCUGAGGAUGGGCCCGCGGCCUAUCAGCUUGUUGGUGGGGUGAGGCCUACCAAGGCGACGACGGGUAGCCGGCCUGAGAGGGCGACCGGCCACACUGGGACUGAGACACGGCCCAGACUCCUACGGGAGGCAGCAGUGGGGAAUCUUGCGCAAUGGGCGAAAGCCUGACGCAGCGACGCCGCGUGAGGGAUGACGGCCUGGUUGUAA
rnacentral:rRNA from 1 species